AAAAAACAAAUGACGUUCGCAUCUCCUCAUCCACGCAUUGAACAGCCCCCGUCGAUGGCGCUCGGCCCCGUCGCUCCCCCGCCCCGUCGCCGGCCCUCCCCCGCCCUGUCGCCGGCCCUCCCCCGCCACCCUGUCGCCGGCCCCGUUGCUCCCCUGCCCUGUCGCCGGCCGCGUCGCUCCCCCGCCCCGUCGCCGGCCCUCCCCCUCGUCCAUGAACCGCCCCGUCGAGGUCCAGGUCCGCGACGGAUCCGCCUACGCCGGCGUCUUCCACACCACCUGCCUCGACGCCGGAUACGGUGAAUUUGUGUUUAUGCUCUGUGGCGUUGAUCUGUAAAUCUUCCGAUGCUAUUUUGUGCCAUAUGGGCAAACACUAAGUUCUGAGGAAGAGAUGUCAUAUGUGUACCAUAUGGACAAACACUCUACAUUCUAAAGGACGGGCAGAACGUGCAUCCCCUGGAUUUGUGUCCCAGAUCAUGGAGGAAUUACCCUCUCUGCUGGUGCGUUUACAGUGCAUUAUUUGUAGUUCUAUUGGGAAGACAGUUAGAGACCCCGAGAGGCUGCUGCGAGCUGCUAUUCCCCUCCUCGAGCUGGCGGACUGAUGAUGGAGGACCCGCCCUCUUUGCUGCAUCAGCGCCGCCGCUGCCACUUCUGCUUCUGUUGCCCGUUGGCCCAGGGCGGCGCAUGUCCUCUGCUUCUAAGGCUUCUUCUGCUGAUGGUCUUCAAGGUGCUGCUGCUGCUCCCAAGCUGUGGCUGGCUUCGCUGCUGCAGCACCAUGCCGUCUUCAACGACUCACCAACGACGGCAGCUCCUCCGCUUCAGGGCUACUGCGGCAUGCGUGUCUCCCUCCUCCAGGGAGGUUGUGCGGCACCGAGCGGGUGUACGGCGAGGUCUUCGUAAUGGCAUCAAGUCACCCUUGCCAUAUGGAUCAUAUAUUUGCUUCAAAUCACGGAAGCUUGGGUUGAUGGAGUGCUUGUCUUUAGUUUUUGUUUUGAGUUUGUGAAACUUGCUACCUAUGAUGAAACUGUGCAAUAUUGAUGAAACUAUGUAUAUGUAUGGAUGAAACUUGCUACUAUUGGUAACAUGUGUUGGAUAUGUGUUCGAUAUAUAUAUGUGUUCAUGACUAUUGGUAAUAUGUGUUGAAUAUGC
rnacentral:rRNA from 1 species